UGUCUAUGAUACACAGACCAUCAGCUGAGGUAAUGCAGCAUUAAUUAAAAUGACCAACCACUUGUACAAAACAACAAAACCCGUAGCAUUUACAGACGCAACACAUCAUGUCAUUUCUUUGGCAUCUGAGUUUUUCUUUUCUCGCAGUUUUUCUUUCUUUCUUUUUUUUUUUUUUUUUUACAACACUCAUUUGUAUUCCAGUCUCUUCAGGCUCUUACAUUUGUGAUGAAAUAACAUCGGUUUGUUUUUGUCACAGCAUCAAGUUCCUGUUUUUAUUUUCAAGUCAUCUUGUUGCUGACAACUUCACGUCUGCUCCAGGUUCUCCUCUGAUUGCUUGCCACGCCCCAAACCCUUCUCACCUGUUGCUCAUUUAGUUGAGUCUUCACACACUUUGCUCACCUGUGUUUGAACUCACUGACUUUCUAGUUCAGUGUUGUUGUUGUUUUUUUUUUUUUCUGACUGCCUCCUCUGACUUUAUUCUGCAGCAGACUUUGGAUUUUUGCUACCUGACGACUUGGUUUGAAUCAUCCCAGAACUUUUCAAUUAGCCGGUCUGUUUCCCCGACCACCACCACCACCACCACCACCACCCCAACUUCAUCUCCAGGUGUCUUGGACCCUUCAGCAGACCUUGGUUCUGGAAACAAGCAAAUCAUCACUCACUUCAAAUGCUGCCAACACAAAAGACACAAUUUGGUGUGCACACAACAGAUGCGAACACAAAGAGGCGCUUGUGCUAUUGCUUCCGGCCACCAGAGGGUGCAGACAAUAUGCCCCCAUCUACCCCUGGCUUCAGCCUUGAAUUCCUUCAGGGGACUAAAGAAAGAGCCUCCGGUGGUAAGAUGGACAAAAUGACACAACUAGCCAAGAAUGAACUGUGUGGACACACACACACACACACGCACGUUAUCCACAGUUGUCCACAGAUAUGACUACAUGCUGUAUAUCUGUUUGAAGAUGCUCUGGAAGAUACAGGUCCCUUUAGAGCAGCUCUUCCUGUUUUUGCUCCUCUAUCCCUCGCACAGUCACAGACGACACUAAACUUUCACAAUGGAGAUGCAGGAAAACAUCAUUUCCAGUCACAAACCCACAACGUUGUAAUCUGUAUAGAGUGAGCGUGACCUCAAAAAACAAGAACAAAUAAUAUGCAACAUUAG